CUCGUUAAUGGACGAAGCCUGUUGUUGUCAUUUUUUUCUCUGCGCUUGUUCGGCAAAUUACCCCCAUGACGUCAUCGCGUACAAUAAACACUAGACACGCAACAUCCAAAAAGGACAAACUGGAUGAAGUUCAUGGUCAAACUUACACUUUACAGAGACUGGCUGAUUCCAGCUGUCGCUCAGGCUAACCAGCUGGAGAAGUGGCCACCCAAAAACGUCUGUUUGAGUUGAAAGCUGCGUUAAAUAGAUUCUAUGCAGCCACAUCUGCAGCUGGGGCAGCAUUAGGAGCGGGGGCUUCUUCUACUGUGGCAGCGCUCUCAACGGCCGGAGUCUCCACAGCGACUUCAACUGGAGCAGCCUCCUCAACUACUGCUGCUGCCUCUGUCAC